AUAGUAUUUUUAUAGAGAGUAUUGACAUCUUUAAGUAAUUUAAUGCAGUAUAUAUUGUAAUUUGGUUAUGAAAUUUUUAACUGUAUUUAAAAGCAAAAUCGAAAAUUCCAACAAGAAAAUUGAGUAUUUCUCAUUUUAUUAACUUAUAAAAAAUUUAUUCUUUAAGUAAUCAUGAUGAUUAAGUAAUAAAAUUUUUAUAUUAAUGGUUUGCCAUUGGUCAUCUACUGAUGCUAGUUUAGAGUAAAGCAAUCACUUGCCACCUUAGAGAAUUUGAAUUCAAUUCCAGGUUUCACUUCUCUAGUUUUUAGAAGUGGCUUAUGUCUGGUGUUGAACCCCAUCCUUUAACCUUUCAGUUGAUGUCACUAUAGGUGAGAUCAACGAAAGAUUGAAGAAUACCACAGGCAUCAUUGGCUAGCCUGUGUGUUUGGUGGUCUCAAAAAAUUGCUGGAGGUCAUGAUGGAACAGUUCUUGAAUGUCAAUUCCACUAUGGAAUUGCCCACACUGUGGUGGGAUUGGCUAUCAAAAGAUGAGAUUCAAUAAGCUGGUCUCGGAUCCCCUUUGAAAAACUUUUAGAUGUAUGGAAUCUGAGAAUUAAAUCCAGAAACUUCUGUCUUCGUAUUACCGGCAGUUAUCGUAGUAACCAUGUGACGGCUACCGGUUUUGCUGUUUGCCAGGCCGGUCUAUCGAGUUUAAAUUCUGCUGGCUGCCGGAUUCGGCAAAUUGCUUUCGACCAAUUGAGUGAAAUAUUAAUAAUGAUGCCAUACUGAAUGUGUUUUAAUCUGUAACUAGUGACAUGAUUGCCACGCACAUUUAUUGUGAUGCAUGUCGCAAAUUUAAAUUAUUUUAUGUUAAAAUAUUCAACAACAAAUUUUUUUUGAUCACACAAAACUGGACUCUAAACAAAAAAUUUGUGGAGAUCAUUUGACCAUUAUUGUGCGACAAAUUUUUUUUAAGUAUGAAAAGGAAAAACAAUUCUAAUCGUUUUUUGCUUUAUUAAAAAUAUUGUCUAGCCUUUUUACUGGAAAAACUAAUUGCUGAAAUAACAGCAGUUUUUCACAAACAUCAGAGAAACCAUUAUUAUUUCGACAAAUUUUAUUAGCUCCUCAUGAAUUGGUUGAUUGUCUUAUGAAUCAUCUCAUUGGCCCUCUUAUUCCAGCCACCAGUGAAUAAGAGGACCAAUGAGAUGAUUCAUAUGCUUCUCCGUUUUCGAUGAUGGCUAGGCCGGGUACUCGGCAAUUCAGGACAGUGGACGCACGUUUUGAGUCUGCAGCUUACUACGUGACCUGAUCUGUGUGAUAAACACAAAUGGCUGCAUUGUAAUCUAUACUGUGAUGUCAGUUUUUUUGUCAGUAGAUUAUGCAACAUUCUAUUUUGUCGAAUACUGACAGUGGGGGGGAAAACAGAUCUUGUCACAGUUUUCUGAAUUAUACAGGUGGGGAUCAUCAGUCUUGGACCUGGCUGAAUAGAUAUAAAUUUUUCAAAAUAUGGAAUACAGGCUCUAAAUUGGUAAGCUUGGAGGAUCAGAGUUCAAUUCUUAGACUCCAUAUCUCUAAAAGUUUAUUCAGAAUGGGUUCGGGCCGAUUCAUUGAAUGCCAUCCUUUGCCAUGGGUGCCAGAAUGGUAAUUGAGAUUAUCCCAAGUGAAGAAAUUCGUAUUGGGCUGGUUGAGCUUGGUAUUGCCCAACUCUCACCAGAAGAUGCUCUAUAGUUCGCCACCUGACCAUUCAGUUCCUGCGGGUCCGAGAUUAAGAAUCGACCUGCCGAAUGCUCUGCAUGAGGUAUGAAUCCUCGAUUAGUCCAAAAUCCCAAGGUGGUGUAUUAUGCUGAAAGGACAAAUAGCUGAAGGAUAGAAGCCUUAAUGAUCCAUUCUGACAGGGGCCCCUAGUCUCGACUUUUUUGUGUUGUACUCGAACGCACAUCAGCCAAUGCACUUGUGUCACUUCUACUCAUAAAUUUGGUAGUCUCAAGUUCCAACCGCUACACGAACGUGAC
rnacentral:lncRNA from 1 species